GAGCAAUAUUUGGAAGUAUUAGGACAUGUAAACACCUCAAUCAGCAUUCUAGCUGUGUAUUUGAUCUGCUCAUGUGCUAGCACCAGCCAAGCCAGCCUCCAUCUUUGGUGUACCCGAUACAAUUGCAAUCAGUUGUUGAUUAUAUCAACUAUCAUCAGAAAUCAAGCAAUAUGAAUCAGACAGUGGGGCGCCACCUGACCCACUAUUUGGUCAGAAUGUUCAAAUCAACGUUUCAUAUCAUGGUGUAGAUGUACUGUAGAUCGAAUUGCACUCAAUACAUUUUCUUCCCUAUUAGGGGUCAUAUUAGCGGGCUAUCCCGGGGUUAGCGCGAGGGAAUGUCUUGUAAUGAAACAGGCAGGGAGCAGGUCUCGAACCCUGCAAAAGCAUGCUCAAGUGGUAGAGUCGAUAUCCGCGCUUAUAAAGCCAGGGUCGUUACACUACUCCCUCCCAGUGUUGCCAACUCCUAGUAAGGAAAGUAGCUAUUGGCUGUCCUAAAAGUCGCUAAAUGAUUUCAUCACCUAAUUUGUAUAAUUGGCCAUGUGCAUGUAAUUGUGAUGGACGCUGUAGGAGAGGAAUAAUGUCGUGGGAGAGACAAAAAGACAACACUUCUCGAGGAAAGCCACAACAGCACGGCUAUAGAUUUGGCAUCUCCCUCCAACUCAACAAGCCCCAGAAAUGUUGAUACAAUUGUCUGCUUGGUAUCACUAAAGUACCUUAUCACAACCCCCAGGUACUUAGAAACACUUACAUCGGUGGACUCAUCGAGGAGGAGGCUGAAACGCUGGUCACCCACAUCUGUGGACUCAUCGAGGAGGAGGCUGAAACGCUGGUCACCCACAUCUGCAACCAACUUUUUCAGAAAGUAUGGUGCUAGAACACCAUUAAUAAUUUCUGUGCACUUUGUCCUGUGCAUUUUGAAGUGGGUAGCAGCAGUGGAGUCUGAGAAAGCAGCUCUACAUGCUUCUCCAAUGUGAUCACAUGCCAGCAUGGAAGUGAUCAGCGAUAGCUAAAUGCCAUGGUGGCCUCAACCUUUUUUGCAGUCAUUUUUUUAACCAUAAAUGGCAGCUUGUUUUUGGUGGAACUGUUAUAAGGCUUUGCCUUUUGAGUAUGUUUUUUGAGUUGUCAUGUGUUUUUUUUUACAUCACUAAGUGUGGCGUAGAAAUCAGCCUUACAAGACAGACAGUAUGCCCGUGUAUCAUCUCCAAUAAACAGCUUCAACCAGC